UGAGGAAUAUUGGUCAAUGGACGAGAGUCUGAACCAGCCAUGCCGCGUGAAGGAUGAAGGCGUUCUGCGUUGUAAACUUCUUUUGCGGGGGAAGAAACCUUGAUAUUCUUAUCAAGCCGACGGUACCCCGAGAAUAAGCACCGGCUAACUCCGUGCCAGCAGCCGCGGUAAUACGGAGGGUGCAAGCGUUAUCCGGAAUCAUUGGGUUUAAAGGGUCCGCAGGCGGUCUUAUAAGUCAGUGGUGAUAGCCUACAGCUCAACUGUAGAACUGCCUUUGAAACUGUUAGUCUUGAAUUAAGAUGGCGUUGGCGGAAUAGGUCAUGUAGCGGUGGAAUGCAGAGAUAUGACCCAGAACCCCGAUUGCGAAGGCAGGCUACUACGCCGUGAUUGACACUGAGGCACGAGAGCAUGGGUAGCGAACA
rnacentral:rRNA from 1 species